GACGAACGCUGGCGGCGUGCCUAAUACAUGCCAGUCGAACGCUUCUUUCCUCCCGAGUGCUUGCACUCAAUUGGAAAGAGGAGUGGCGGACGGGUGAGUAACACGUGGGUAACCUACCCAUCAGAGGGGGAUAACACUUGGAAACAGGUGCUAAUACCGCAUAACAGUUUAUGCCGCAUGGCAUAAGAGUGAAAGGCGCUGUCGGGGGUCGCUGAUGGAUGGACCCGCGGUGCAUUAGCUAGUUGGUGAGGUAACGGCUCACCAAGGCCACGAUGCAUAGCCGACCUGAGAGGGUGAUCGGCCACACUGGGACUGAGACACGGCCCAGACUCCUACGGGAGGCAGCAGUAGGGAAUCUUCGGCAAUGGACGAAAGUCUGACCGAGCAACGCCGCGUGAGUGAAGAAGGUUUUCGGAUCGUAAAACUCUGUUGUUAGGGAAGAACAAGAGCGUUAGUAACUGAACGUCUCCUGACGGUACCUAACCAGAAAGCCCCGGCUAACUACGUG
rnacentral:rRNA from 1 species